CGCAACUACAACCUCUGAGACACUUCCGUCGAAAUAGAAGCCAACCCUUGCGUUUGCAAACAUAGGACGCAACCAAGAUGACGUCGAUGGCAGGCGAGAACGAGGCUCGGGGGGCGGAAGUGGCUGUGAAACAUAGUCCUUUAUUUCUUCCUAUGCAACGACUACACACAAUCUUGUCUUGUCUGCUCGUCUAGUCAACUCACCCAAGGUUCGGCUGGUUUGACCGACAUAUUUUAUGCCACAUUUGCAGCAUGUGAUCAGAUAAAUGACAUGGUUCAGUGACCCCCAUUUGAAAGCUGGAAAGAAGAAGAAUUCAAAUAAUUCAAUUGAAGACAUUCGAUAGCAUACUAAAAGUUCAAUGCAAAUGUGAACCACCGCUUUAAUCAAGAGAAGACGUCCAUCAGAGCUUACCAUCUAGGAUGCAGAUGCACAUAUGUAAAUAACUAAUCUGGUGCAGCAGUGCACAUGUUAAAAGCAGGGGCUGGAAGCCUGCGAGGAGGUGGUUAAUGUUACGUCCAGUUAAUAAAGAGCCAGGCUUGGAGUUAAGUGAGAGCCUUUUACUUAUCUUGUGCUCAGAUACCUGAUAAAUCUCUGGCCCCAGGGGGGUGUGAAUUGGAGAGUCCAGUAAAUAGCAGCAAUUAUUUAGGGGAAAGGCACUACCUGAGAACAGAAGGGUGUCCGUGAUACUGAUCUUUUUCUCAUUUACAGGAAUCCCUAUCCCAAAUGAUCCUGUGUUUGCUCCUAAAGGGGGCCUGGUGGGCUGUGGGCUAGGAAUGGCCCAGCAGAAUGACGAACAGAAGGAGAGAGGAGUUGCAAGGGGAUAAAAAGAGCGUCUGUCUAACCAGGGACCCCACAGCUGUCCUUACACUUCUAUCUAUCUUGUGGCCUCUUAAAAAGGGACACAGGACAAACCAUAAGCUCUCCCUGCCCAUGUGUAUAAAGAUAAACCUGCACGUCAUAUGGGAGACACAUCCUAAAUCCAGUGUAAUACAAAGGGGUGCCUAGGGACCCCCAAGUGGUCUACUGAGCCAAUGUGUGCUCCUAUCCCAGUGCAGAUGAGGAGCCAAGUCAUGUGGCACUUCAUUACUUUUCAAUAGCUGGUUAGUCAAUUAAUUCUGCUCUUUGUUUAUCCUGAAUGGGUAAUAAGCAGCAGCCCAUGGUGUGCCAGAGGGCAAAUCACUCAUGCACACACUCACAUAUCACAAGCCAGACCUGCCACUGGGUCUGCUCCGCUUUGACUGAUGGGAUUUUAACCUGCACCUUCAUACCGUCCAAUCAGUAGGGAGAAACCUACGUUACUAACUGCUCUGGUUCUGACUCUGGAAUGCUGCCGAAGUCAGUCCUCCUCGUGUUCGGCUUAGUAGCCGCCUUCUGUGACGUUGUUUCAGUGAGUGAGAACCAGCAGUGCAGGAAUGUAAACCUCUGUCAAUAGAGAUAUAUAGCAUUUCUAUUCAUCUCUCCAUUGGCUUGUAAGGCAAAACUGGAAAGUUUUUAAAGAAUUUUUUUUUUUAAGCCCAAGGCCUUCUAUAUUUGAUGGUACUUAAAAUGUUGAACAAUGGAAUGCUUGACAAGUAAAUGACAUUCAGUACUUCCACUUGGUCGCAACCGAAUGCACAGAAGUCCUCGCAGUUUUGCCGGGAGAAGUCAGUGUCUGACACUUUCCAACCCAUUCUUCUGUCUCACUGGUCUCUAAUUAUAUAUAUUGGGGGCUGCCACCGUCACACUGACGCAGGUCUGGACUGAGAAACAAAAUAGGCUUUGGCAUUUCAGGUACACAGAGGCCCAAUCAGCCCCACCAGCCCACUAAAUACUGACUUUCUUUGGCACCUUAUAUAGCAGCCCCUUUGGCAUUUGCCAGAACCAACAGAUUGCCAGUCCGGGCCUGCACUGAUGCCAGCUAAAUCUGAUCAUAGUCGUAGCUUAUGACAGUGCAAUUCUUUAUUGCACGUGUAGUAUCCCCUUAGAAUUAACUCUGUCUGUCUGCUGCAGCCAGUGGUAUUCAGCCACAAUAUGCAUCUGGUCUUCAUUUUUUAUUUUGUGUGUGUGUAUUUUUUUCACAAUUUAGCUUUUUGUCAUGGCUAUCUUGUUGCUAGGAGCCUAUUUACCGUAGCAACCAGGCGGUGGUGUCAUUGAGAGACUAUAAGAAAGGGACUGAAUAGAAAGAUUAGUAAUAGAACAAUAGAAUGAGUCAAUGGAUCAGCAUCACAAAGCUAAUUGACGUUCUAUUGACCUGGACAAAUAUACUUCAAAUGAAUGAAAGCGGGAUAAAGCCCCCCUGGGAAUGUGCAUUGCUCAGUAUCCCCUAUUUAUGUUUAUAAAAGCCCUUUCUCUGCAACAUAAACCAACCCAGCCUAUCUCCAUACCUGUCAUUUUUAUUCCCUUUAUUAAUGAAGUUGAUUGUUAUUGUACUGCUACCAGCGUAGCCUUCUAUUAUCUAAACUCCCAGUGCCUGAUUUCACAUGUAUCUCAACCUCAGCACCUACCUUGGCAUAUUCCAUCAGGUCGCUGCGUCCUCUGAAUCGGUUGUAGAACUCUGGCUUACUCCAAGGGGCAAUGAUCUGUGGGUACAGAGGAUACAGGGGAAUCAGCACCAAGCCCCUUGGUGUUGAUAAAAGGGGAGCAGCAGAGGGGUUUAUGGGGAGCCCAUUUAGACCAAGUCAAGGUUUAUUGGGAUUUAGUGUCCAAGCAUGGGA